AAGUAUAUGUUUGUGGGUGAAAGUCUGCUGUCUUGUGAUGGAUCCAGUGAACAGAGAAUAAGGAAUGGCAUCUACCUGGAAUGGGCUGCAGGAGAAGCAGAGCAACAGAGAACAGUGUCUCUCAGCAGAUUUGUGGCAAAGAACUUCUGAGCAUCAACACCUUUUCUUUGGCUGACGGCAAAGCUGAUCUUCCAGUGUUGCUCCGAUGAUGUCUGAAAGCUGGUAUUUCUGACUUUCCUGGGAAGACCAGAAGGGAUGUUUCACAACAAGCUGACAGUGUACUGGCAUCUUCACAGGGACAACUGCAGAUGUGUUCUUGGACUUGUUGGACCUGUAGAGUCUCCUCAGUGGGAUUUCUUCAGACUGAGCUAACUGGUUUGGCACCUUUCUUUGCCUGAUUCUUUCAACCUGGCAGAUUAACCACACUUUGGUCUUCAGCAGAAUUCCCUGUCAAUGGUACUGAAGAAGAAGAGAAACAACCAUCAGCAAUUCGUAUAGUUAUUCUGUUGGAUAUAUUAAUGUUUACAGAUGAGCAGAUACAGAUUACUUUUGCCACAACAGCUAAUCUGUGUUGCCAGGUAAUUUGGCUGUGGAUAUUUCCCAAAUAUAAUACAUGUAAGUGUGAAGAGAAAAAAAAUUAUGCUCAUAAAUUUAAUUUUUCUUUAUGAAGCUCACAGUGAAAACUACUGAAACCUGGAAUCCAACUCUUGCCAUUUAAUGUAUUCCAUGUGUCUAGCAGAAGUCGAUAGAUCUCUAGAUACAAAAAGAAUUUAAGAUUAAAACUAAGAGACUACUGCACCCAAAGGGUGCUUUCUCUCCCAGUUGCUCAUCUCUGCACUUGAAAUACCUUGGCGUUAUGCUACCUUUAUGAAUUAAUCUUCACAAGCUGAUAAUAUUUUGAUGAAUUCCAAUUAGCUGCUGCAUGGGCAGAGCUUGUUGUUUUGCAAAAUACACUGGGUUUUUUGCAUCUUUGUUAGAUCUAGCUGUGUGGAAAGAGGAAUUAUCCAGACUACAGUUUACUUACUAGGAGAAGACAUGUG